rnacentral:rRNA from 1 species
GACGAACGCUGGCGGCGUGCCUAAUACAUGCAAGUUGAGCGCUGAAGGUUGGUACUUGUACCGACUGGAUGAGCAGCGAACGGGUGAGUAACGCGUGGGUAAUCUGCCUUUGAGCGGGGGACAACAUUUGGAAACGAAUGCUAAUACCGCAUAAAAACUUUAAACACAAGUUUUAAGUUUGAAAGAUGCAAUUGCAUCACUCAAAGAUGAUCCCGCGUUGUAUUAGCUAGUUGGUGAGGUAAAGGCUCACCAAGGCGAUGAUACAUAGCCGACCUGAGAGGGUGAGCGGCCACAUUGGGACUGAGACACGGCCCAAACUCCUACGGGAGGCAGCAGUAGGGAAUCUUCGGAAAUGGACGAAAGUCUGACCGAGCAACGCCGCGUGAGUGAAGAAGGUUUUAGGAUCGUAAAACUCUGUUGGUAGAGAAGAACGUUGGUGAGAGUGGAAAGCUCAUCAAGUGACGGUAACUACCCAGAAAGGGACGGCUAACUACGUG